AGGAGUGCAUUUCAGAGCUCCAGGGAGAGGCUUGGUGAGAAGUCCAAAGCCAGGAAGAGGGGAGCUAUAGAAACCCUGGAGAGGUGACAGCUGCACUGCUGCAAGGACUGGAGCUGAUGGUGGGGAGCUGAAGCAUGAACCCUGCAAAAUGUGCUGCAACUGAGUGUUUCUGUGAAACUGGCCACUGAGAAAUGGACAGUGGGAAUCAAAGAUCAGAUCUCCCCUGGAGAAGGGAAGAAAACCUGGAGACAAGACACAGAAGCAGACAGAAAUGAAGGCACUGGCUCUGGGCUAGAUCCAGGGAGAUGCGACUAGUAGAAAGGAGGAGUAGGUCACCCUUUGCAGUCUUUAAUCCUGGGUUCCCUCUGAAUCAGGUCAGCCCUUAAUGUAGUUUAGAACUGCAAAGACAGCAUCAUUAACUGAGGAGUUUUAUGGAACCUGAGUAUCUGUGGGCACAGGGGAGCCCUGGCCCUACAUUUGACUCUUGACGAGGACAUUGCACAGGGCACGCUCCAGGGACUUUAUUUUACUGGAGCUUCCCUUCCCCCUGCCAGAAAUCUGGAGAUCAUCAAUAUCUUUCUUAUGUCCUCAAAGCCAGUGACUUAAAAGCAAGUGAUGUAAAAGAAGUGGCUUAAA